GAUGAACGCUGGCGGCGUGCCUAAUACAUGCAAGUCGAGCGAACGGACGAGAAGCUUGCUUCUCUGAUGUUAGCGGCGGACGGGUGAGUAACGCGUGGAUAACCUACCUAUAAGACUGGGAUAACUUCGGGAAACCGGAGCUAAUACCGGAUAAUAUUUUGAACCGCAUGGUUCAAAAGUGAAAGACGGUCUUGCUGUCACUUAUAGAUGGAUCCGCGCUGCAUUAGCUAGUUGGUAAGGUAACGGCUUACCAAGGCAACGAUGCAUAGCUGACCUGAGAGGGUGAUCGGCCACACUGGAACUGAGACACGGUCCAGACUCCUACGGGAGGCAGCAGUAGGGAAUCUUCCGCAAUGGGCGAAAGCCUGACGGAGCAACGCCGCGUGAGUGAUGAAGGUCUUCGGAUCGUAAAACUCUGUUAUUAGGGAAGAACAUAUGUGUAAGUAACUGUGCACAUCUUGACGGUACCUAAUCAGAAAGCCACGGCUAACUACGUG
rnacentral:rRNA from 1 species